UUUUGCUAUUGGUGUAUACUGUUCGGGAAAAUUCUCCUGCAAUUCUUGGCCAAUUAAUCCCCCACAAAAACAUGAGAAUGCCUUCUGCUGGCGCCUUUGUACACAGUCAAAGGAAUGAUAUUCACGCUUAAAGAUAGUUGAGAUCAGACACAAAGGGUUAAUCCCAAUGAGCAGACAGCGCGAUUUCUGAUUGAACAAAGAACACUUUAUUGAGUGCUGCCUGGGUGCGGGGAGAAGGGCGGGAUGACCCAGAUGGGAGGCAAGAUCCUCCUGGAGGUCCUGAGGCUCCGGGCCCCCUUCGGUGGGCGGGGCCGUCGGGAACCUAAGAGCACUCUGCGGGGGCCACCUUCUUCUCCACGGUGCUCCCCUCGUGCGUGACCAGGCAGCUGAAGCUGCUGUGAGAUUUCCACUUGUCAGGCGUCAGGCUCAGGUAGCUGCUGGCCGCGUACUUGUUGUUGCUCUGCUUGGAGGGCUUGGUGGUCUCCACGCCCUGGGUGACGGGGCUGCCGUCUGCCUUCCAGGCCACCGUCACGCCGCUGGGGUAGAAGUCGCUGAUGAGGCACACCAGGGUGGCCUUGUUGGCGCCGAGCUCCUCAGAGGAGGGCGGGAAGAGUGUGACCGAGGGGGAGGCCUUGGGCUGACCUGUGGGGACGGAAAGGCCGGUGGGUCAAGGCAGAUGUUUGUUGUGUCAGCACCUACCUGAGUGCUGGUGUGGGGGUACAGCUGUGUCCUGUCCAUGUCUUGGGCCGCAGGCGGCCCUUGCUCCUAGAGGUCAGGCCAACCAUCGGUAGGCUCACCCACCUUCUGCUGGAGAGAAUCUGAGUGACAGAUUCUCUAGUUUCUGGGCCUCUGCAUGGCCUCAGGGUCUCUCCACAUCAUAUAUCCUUCUAAUCUACUCAGUCUACCCCCAGGACUAGAUAUCAAUGACCCCGAGACCCUGCUUUCUUUCUGAAUCUGGGUGUGCUUGGACACAGGUCUCAGGUGACAUCCCCCAGGGCUCUGUUACCCAUGUGAGGAGUCUGUUUCCUGCCUCCAGGCCACCUCAUGCCUUCACAGCAGCCUUGCCCACCUCCCUAGAUACCCACCUUCUAGGGUUGCUGAAUGGGAUGGGCUGUGAACCCUGGUUCUUGAACUCAGGGAGUCCAGUAGGGGAAGUUUUUCGUGUCAAGUGAAUUUCCAGUUCUGAGGAUGGGGCUGUGUCUGUCCUGAGGGUCUCCCUUUUCUGUGAAAACCUGGGGGUCUAUCUCUCCUAGCAUUUCCGGGUACCUAGCAGUACUAUCUCUGUCACCUGUCCCUAUCAGGGACCUCGGGUCCAGUAUCUUCUCAGGGGCUCUCCAGAUGGAGUGGGCUUUGAGGGGACGGACCUCUGCUGCCAGAGUUUCCUAGACUGGUCCUAUUCUUGGUGUCUAAGUAUCCCUACAUGGUGGAUGGUCCCAUCACCCUGGGCUCCAUUCUCUCAAGUCCUUGCUUUAUCCUUUACCCCUUGUCCUGCGUCCCCCUCCUUGUCUCCGAGUCCCCAUAUCAAGGCUCUCCUCACUGUGCCCAUGCAGCCCUCUGCCCGGGAGCCCCCUCCACCAGAGACAGAGGCCAGCACCUGAGCGGCCCCCACAAUCCUUCCAUCACCUUAUAGCCCUGCUGGCAGUCUGAGCAUCCCUCUUCCUUAUCCAUCUCCCCUCAUUUCCCCUCACAUUCAUGAUUCUAAUAGAUCCUGACUGGGGAACCGACCACCCCCUAGUCCAGAGAAGAAGGUCCUGUAGGUAGAGGGCUGGACACACAGUGAGACCUGACUGUAUGUACAUCAGGAAGGAUUUUGGGGCUGGUCCCCUGCAGCUCCAAUACAACAUCCGACAAGGUGGGAGCAGUGGAAGCACGAGGGGCAGACGAAGCGGACGAAAGGCAUAGACCCCACAGACCUUUAGCCUCAGGCUUCAUCAAGUUGGAAAGGAGAGAAGCAUCACCUGAAAUUGUAGAGUGGGAGCCAAGGAGGCGAGAAAGGGGUAGACUCACCGAGGACGGUCAGGUGGGUGCCUCCGCCGAACACAGCACACUGUGACACAGCCUCGAACAUAAACCCUCUGUCAGCCCCUCCACCCCUGACCCAGGCCCACCUGCAGCUGCUCGGGAGGCCCAAAGGGCAGCCUCCUUGUCACGG
rnacentral:lncRNA from 1 species